CGCUUUCCCAGUGCCCGCGCACCUGGGGGCUGCGCCCGGGGGUGUUGGCCUUCCUCUAGGGCAGGCAGCCUUCCGGCCGCAGAGGACUGGCAAGUAAGUGUGCAGGGUCCUAGGGGUAAAGCUCUCAGGAAAGCCCUCGCAUGUGGGCGCCUAGCAGGGCUUAAGGAGACCCAGCCCCGAACAGGGUGUGUACGGUGAAUCCCCAAGGAGGACUUGGCCUUUCUGUGAUCUUGGCAAGCCCUUACCGAGAGGGCGCUCCAACUGUAAAGUGGGGGUCACAAUGCUACCUACUCCCACAGGGCUGUUUUCAGGAUGAGGUCAGCUCCUGCCUUGUAGUCAGCUGCCAACAACCUUUUGUUUUGAUGAGCCCAGGGCCUGCCACGUGGUAGGUGUUCACUAGAUUGUGUAUACUCUUGAAAGCACCCUCUGAGCUGGGACCAACCAGUGGGAAAGUGAGUUGAAUCAUCCUCGCUCUGCCGCCUGCAGCAGCCUGGCAUCCAGUAGACAAUUAUUUGGAGCACCCUGGAGAGUGAUGGACGGGUUCACACCGUGAACAGGCAGUGGCAGGUGAGGGGGCCUCCGAGGGCUCUUCUCUCUUCCCUCUUGGGACCCAUUGGUCCCAGUUGGCCCCAUGCAGAAAGCAAACAGCUUGAAUCAUACAGGAGGCAAAAAAACAAAAAAGGCAGAGCAGGCCUGAAGUGGGAAGAAACUGUUCAUCUGAUGUUCAGAGCCAGGAGCAGUCAGGUUUAUUCCGGGGCUGUGCAGGGUUUUCACUUGCUUGAGUCUGUAAAGUAGCAGGUAGAGGUGGCUGCCGGGGGCAGGAAGGGGCAGAGAGAGGACACGAUCUGCAGAGAUGGCUACCUGAGGUCCUUUUCAGCUCCAGGAGUCCUGGGGUUUCAUAACCCACAUGAUUCAUCCGAUCAGCAGUGGCCAAGGUGGGACCUCAAAGAACAUCUGAUGGGCACCACGUCUGGAGAAGUUUCGCCACAUCACUUACUUCUGGGCAACCUCGGGCAAGUUCUUCGUCUCCUUCUGUUGUCAUCUUGCAGGGUACGGUGAGGACCACAGGAGGUGACUGGUGCAGUUCCCCUGUCCCGUGCCUGGGGACCAGUAAGCGCCGCAAAAAUGGAUUGACACCCACCAAGUCCUUCAUCCUUUGAAGGCUGUGCCACACUGAACCUCACAGUCGCCUGCCACAGGGUCCAAUUCCUGGCUCUCCAAUGAUGCUUCAGAUUCCUGCUCUCCUAUGUUGUCAUCUCUCAAAGGUUAAACAUUUGAUAACCAAACAUUUCUGUGGCUCAAAUGAUUUUGUGUCUGGCCCUCUUCAUUUGGAUUGGGGAUAAUUCUCUCACUCUUUUUUCUUUCUCCUCUGAG
ensembl:lncRNA